rnacentral:rRNA from 1 species
ACGAACGCUGGCGGCGUGCUUAACACAUGCAAGUUGCACGAGAAUUUUUCGAGUGAUUUCUUCGGAAUGAUCAUGAAAAAGGAAAGUAGCGAGCGGGUGAGUAACACGUGAGAAACCUGCCUUUCACAAAGGGAUAGCCUCGGGAAACCGGGAUUAAUACCUUAUGAAACCAACCACUCGCAUGAGAGAUUGGUUAAAGAUUUAUCGGUGUUAGAUGGUCUCGCGUCUGAUUAGCUAGUUGGUGGGAUAAAAGCCUACCAAGGCAACGAUCAGUAGCCGGAUUGAGAGGUUGAACGGCCACACUGGAACUGAGACACGGUCCAGACUCCUACGGGAGGCAGCAGUGGGGAAUUUUGCACAAUGGAGGAAACUCUGAUGCAGCGACGCCGCGUGAGUGAUGAAGGUCUUCGGAUUGUAAAACUCUGUCCUUAGUGAAGAUAAUGACAGUAACUAAGAAGCAAGCCCUGGCUAAAUACGUG